AUUGCCUCAGUAACGGCGAGUGAAGCGGCAAGAGCUCAAAUUUGAAAGCUGGCUCCUUCGGGGUCCGCAUUGUAAUUUGCAGAGGAUGCUUCGGGUGCGGCCCCUGUCUAAGUGCCCUGGAACGGGCUGUCAGAGAGGGUGAGAAUCCCGUCUGGGAUGGGGUGUCCGCGCCCGUGUGAAGCUCCUUCGACGAGUCGAGUUGUUUGGGAAUGCAGCUCUAAAUGGGUGGUAAAUUUCAUCUAAAGCUAAAUAUUGGCCGGAGACCGAUAGCGCACAAGUAGAGUGAUCGAAAGAUGAAAAGCACUUUGAAAAGAGAGUUAAACAGCACGUGAAAUUGUUGAAAGGGAAGCGCUUGCGACCAGACUCGCCCGCGGGGUUCAGCCGGCAUUCGUGCCGGUGUACUUCCCCGUGGGCGGGCCAGCGUCGGUUUGGGCGGCCGGUCAGCGGCUCCCGGAAUGUAGCGCCUCUCGGGGCGCCUUAUAGCCGGGGGUGCAGUGCGGCCAGCCUGGACCGAGGAACGCGCUUCGGCACGGACGCUGGCA
rnacentral:rRNA from 1 species